rnacentral:rRNA from 1 species
UACGGGGGGGGCAAGCGUUGUUCGGAAUUACUGGGCGUAAAGGGCGCGUAGGCGGCUUCGGAAGUCAUGGGUGAAAGCCCCGGGCUCAACCUGGGAAUGGCCUGUGAAACCACGGAGCUGGAGUGCUGGAGAGGGAAGCGGAAUUCCCAGUGUAGCGGUGAAAUGCGUAGAUAUUGGGAGGAACAUCUGUGGCGAAGGCGGCUUCCUGGACAGACACUGACGCUGAGGCGCGAAAGCCAGGGGAGCAAACGGGAUUAGAUACCCCGGUAGUCCUGGCUGUAAACGAUGAAUACUUGGUGUGGGGGGGUAGGAAAGUCCCUCUGUGCCGGAGACAACUCAUUAAGUAUUCCGCCUGGGGAGUACGGCCGCAAGGCUGAAACUCAAAGGAAUUGACGGGGGCCCGCACAAGCGGUGGAGCAUGUGGUUUAAUUCGACGCAACGCGAAGAACCUUACCGGGGUUUGAACUGGAUUGGCGACCUGCUGAGAAGUAGGGUUCCUUUCGGGGACUGAUCCAGAGGUGCUGCAUGGCUGUCGUCAGCUCGUGUCGUGAGAUGUUGGGUUAAGUCCCGCAACGAGCGCAACCCUUGUCUGUAGUUGCCACCAGGUGAAGCUGGGCACUCUACGGAGACUGUCGGCGAAAAGCCGGAGGAAGGUGGGGAUGACGUCAAGUCCUCAUGGCCUUUAUGUCCCGGGCUACACACGUGCUACAAUGGAUGGAACAGAGGGCAGCGACCUCGCAAGAGCAAGCGAAUCCCAGAAAUCCAUUCUCAGUUCGGAUUGUAGUCUGCAACUCGACUACAUGAAGGUGGAAUCGCUAGUAAUCGCGGAUCAGAACGCCGCGGUGAAUACGUUCCCGGGCCU